rnacentral:lncRNA from 1 species
GAAAUUUUCUGUGCCAAAAGGAAAGAGAUCAUAAAAAGAGAAUGUCAUGUACUAGCAAAGGUAGAGUUUGCUUAGGAAGACGAGUAUGAAGGAGAAAUUUAGGACAAAUGAUCUCCCCCCUUCCAAAACCACAUAAUAGCUAGGGAAAGAAAGUGAUGAUAUGAAGCUUUAUUUUGUUUUGCCUUUUUAAAGUAAAUGGAUAGGCUUCAUUAGUCAAGAAACUGGAUGGAUUUCCUGCUAGCAGCUUUAUUUUCAAGCAGAAUUAUAACAAUUGGUUGCUCAGAGGUUAAGUUAAGGGGGAAAGAUUGAGCCUUGUUUAAAAUAAUUUCUCCAAUACUCCACCUUGUCUCUUCUUGCUUUUGUUUUGCUUCAGGCCCCAUUUCUCCGGAUCCUCAUUUCUUCUUACCUUUCUUCGGAUACUCUCUGUUCAGACAAAAAAAAUAUCUAGCUUUAGUGUGAGGCUUAUUCACAACACUCAGCAAGUUUAGCUUCUAAAUAGUAAGAUAUGAUCCUAGGAUGUGAAAUUUCCACUAUUAUAGAAUAUUGCCUAGGGGAAAAUAGAGUGACGACCUGAAAUAAUAUGACGAUGAAACUCACUCCAAUACGAUCACUGUUUGUCCCGUUCUUAGUGUAGAACGUACAUGAGAAGGAUCGAAUAAGUGUCGAAUGAAUGAAUGAUGGAAUGAAUACACAAAUGCCAAACAAAAUACCAGACUUAAGAUAACAGACGCUAUUCUAUGUGGCAAAUAAACGUUAAAAUAUGUUCAUGUAGGUGCAGAAAUCACCUGUGGGAGCAAACAGAAUUCUGUAUUAGUUUUGAAUCCUGGGUAUGAUAUUUUAUUCUAGAAUGAAAUACCUAAAUCACUUACAAGGCAAUACGGAUAUAACGGUCCCUCAUUCGCUUACUUGCAAAGGAAAUUUUCAAUACAAAUAAAGUCAUACAUAUUUAUAUGAGGGUAAUUCAAAAUAACUUCCUCACAUAAGCACUGCUACGUUCAAAUAAAAUCUUGCCAACACUUCUGAGUACAUUGCUUUAAGAAAAAAAAUGCUCCCCAUAGCGUCCGAACUAUUUAAAAAUCUCACCAGCUUCUUCAACAUACAUCAGUUAUCUCUCUUUAAAUCACUGACAAGAAUUUAAAAACUGCUUCAUCAGAACAACUGUUACCCUUUCUUCUACUCUAGUUAGAACCUGAUCUUCUAAAAGACCAUAUUUACAGCUUCUUUUGAAAUUUUGAAACCAUUUGGCUGUUAUGUUUUUGCUACAUUUUCUUUUCCUGAUUUAAUUACUGGGGACAUUUGCAUGAAAAUAGGAGGAUGGGGGACAUAAGAUAUUUUUUCUUAUGAGUUCAUCUGUUUCUGAUGCUUAUUCCCCACCUGAGAUCAGUAUUUGUUUUAUUACAAUUGGGAAACCAGGAACAGAUUGGAAUUGAUUAAAAAAAAUUGGGGGGAGGUAAAAUAAAGUUCAGAAAUAGGGACUCAAGAAGCUAAGGGAUUAAUGGAUGUUACAAUAAUAGAUUUUCUUCCAGAUGACUUACCAAGCAGUCCAGAUCUUUCAUCGACGCUUGCUAUUGGCAUCAAAAGGAUUAAAAAAUCAGGGACCUAUGCAAUGAUAGUGGAUUAAUGCUUUGCUAAGAAAACCAUGCUCAGGCAUUUACUAUUCUGUUGUAGGUAUUGGCAGACAUCAGAGAAAACAAUUAAGGAGCCAAGUUCAAAUAUGAACUCUAGAGAUGGCCACUGAAAAUUACAAAGGAAAUAAAGCAAAACGCUCUCCUAAUUCUGACCAACUUGCAAAUGCUUACAAUUUUUUUUAUCAGGAGAAUAGAGAAAACUAUCAGGAUGAAUUCUGAACAGCUUCACUUGGAGGUCCAAGAGCAAGGAGCAAUUCACAUGUUAAAAGCAGGAGUCAUGGAAUCUUCACCUCUCACUUCUGGCCCGUACUCCAGCUGGCUGAAUGGCACCACUCUCCCCAAAUCAGUACUUCUCAUCUCUCUCUGAAGGCUGUUCCCACCCCCAACAGGCUUUCCUGUUUGCAGUCAUCCUGCAUAUCUGUUCUUCUCAUCAUCACUAGAGUGCAUGAGUGACAUAAGACUUACCUCUGACCAUGUCACUGCUCAGCCUAAAACCACUGAAAGCUUCACACAUGAGAUAAAUGCACGCAAAGAUUCCUCAGAAGUAGCUCUUUGGAUCUUCAGAUGUGAAAUGGAUCAUUCCUCAAUCUGUAAUAGAAG